AACGAACGCUGGCGGCGUGUUUAAGACAUGCAAGUCGCACGGUGUCAUUUUGGUAGCAAUACUUGGAUGGCACAGUGGCGCACGGGUGAGUAACACGUGAAUGACAUGCCCUUCAGAGGGGGAUAGCUCAGGGAAACUUGGAUUAAUACCUCAUGGUCUCGCACGAGUAAAGGUGGCCGCACGGCUGACGCUGGAGGAUUGUUUCGAGUUCUAUCAGCUUGUUUGCGGGGUAACGGCCCACCAAGGCUACGACGGAUACUUGGUCUGAGAGGACGAACAGGCACACUGGACCUGAGACACGGUCCAGACGCCUACGGGUGGCAGCAGUGGAGAAUAAUUGACAAUGGGGGCAACCCUGAUGGUGCAAGUCGGCGGGGAGGAUGAAGGUCUUCGGAUUGUAAACUCCUGUCAUCCGGGAGCAAGACGUGACGGUGAAUAGCCGGCAGGGUUGAUAGUACCGGAAGAGGAAGGGACGGCUAACUUCGUGCCAGCCGCCGCCGUAAUAC
rnacentral:rRNA from 1 species